GAGGGGGGAAACCAGGGGGCUCACACCUCUUAAAUCCUGCAACGCAAACUCCCUAUUGCAUGCUGUCUAACUGACAAGGGGGUGGGGUGGAGAGGAGCUGGAUGCCGAACGAGAGAUCCUACUCACCAAACAAGUAACUGGUCAAGUAGUGCUCCAGCUCAGAUCUCCCAUCUCCACAAAGGCAGGCAAGGAGAAAGUCACUGCUUGUUGCUACGGUCUGUUGUCCCUGACAAGGGGACAACAUUCCCAAUAAUUCAGAAUGUCCUCCUGAGCCUGCCCGAUAAAUUUUCGUGCUUGAUUUUCAACACAUGGGCACCUAUGUUAUCAAGACCACUGAACAAAAGAAAAUGAAGACUUGACAGACAAAGCGUUUCUGCGGACAUUACCUCAAACAUAGCAUUGGAUCCUGAUUUGCUUCCACUGAAGGAUGACACUGACAAGACAGUGGGUGGGUGAAGAGGCAAUUUGCAGCACCAAGCACUACCUCUCCCAACUCUCUAAAACUACUCCUUUUUUGUGGGGGGAGGGGACACUAAGAAUUGCAGGGGGAAUUCUCAUUUCUGCACCCCACUUCCCCUAAUGGGAGCAUCUCGCAAGCAGAGUUCUGCUCACAGGGACUUGAGACCCACAGCAAUUAAUUACUGUAAGUCCUUUCCCAAAUAGCUGGCUUUUGCACUGAGGAAUCUCUAAUUCAGACUUGUCUAAAAAAUGCUUCCAGUACACCAGGAUCUUCUCUGAGGGAAUCUCCUGAAACGUCAUCACAGUUAAGGAUUACAACGUGCCAGUUAUGGAUGUAGCCUUUUUCAAGUGAAGCCAUUUGGUACUGCACUUUCACCUUUAACGUGCAUGAACUUGCCAG